GCCGACGCUGCCCCAGCGCCUCACCUGGUCCCUAAUGUCUUCUCGCAGCUCCGUCAGGACCCGGUUGAAGAGGGUGAGCUGCGUGACCAGCGCCUUGGUCUGCUCACCUGCCAGAAGCAGAAAGGACAAGGGAACGGGGGAAGCGGAACGGGGACUUACCCAGGAUGGAGGCCAGCACGCUCGUCACUGCAAGAGGAGAGAUGAGAGAUUACCGACUGCCGCCACCAACGCCCAGCAGCGUCACCUGGCGCGGUCGCUCCCGCAUGGGUGACCCUGUAAGCCCUCCGUGCUCAUCAGCGGGCACAGACGUGCCUUUACCUGCACUGUGGAUGGACUCGUCUCCUUGGAAGGGGCACUCGCUCAGCGCCCCGACACGGCUCAUGGACCCUCCCAGGAUCAGCUUCAUCGACUCCACGAACCCCUGAUGCCUUCUGCCCCGUGCGCACCUCGAUGGACUCCACCUCUGCCAGGGGGAUCUCCGACAGCUCAGGCAGCCCCACGCUGGAGUCCAUCUGCUUGCAGUCGACGUAGAGCUCCACGCUCAGCAUGUCCCCGCG